rnacentral:rRNA from 1 species
GCAAGUAGAACGCUGAAGAGAGGAGCUUGCUCUUCUUGGAUGAGUUGCGAACGGGUGAGUAACGCGUAGGUAACCUGCCUUGUAGCGGGGGAUAACUAUUGGAAACGAUAGCUAAUACCGCAUAACAAUGGGUGACACAUGUCAUUUAUUUGAAAGGGGCAAUUGCUCCGCUACAAGAUGGCCCUGCGUUGUAUUAGCUAGUGGGUGAGGUAACGGCUCACCUAGGCGACGAUACAGAGCCGACCUGAGAGGGUGAGC